rnacentral:lncRNA from 1 species
GAGCCAUCUCAGACCAGUCUGACUCCUCACCCUUUCCAGAAGUGCAUCGCUGAGCUCACAUCUGCUGGCAAUGCUCCUGUAUUUGCUGUGGAAGUCUGGCCCUGUCUAACGUCCCUGCCCAUCUGCCUCUACACUACCUCGGACGCCUGCUCCAGAAUGACUGAAGCAGUGGUGAGCAGGCUCACCCCAGGAUUCCACCCGGCCCACCCCAGGCCACAGACCCAGAAGAAGUGCAUCGCUGAGCUCACAUCUGCUGGCAAUGCUCCUGUAUUUGCUGUGGAAGUCUGGCCCUGUCUAACGUCCCUGCCCAUCUGCCUCUACACUACCUCGGACGCCUGCUCCAGAAUGACUG